rnacentral:rRNA from 1 species
GACGAACGCUGGCGGCGUGCUUAACACAUGCAAGUCGAACGAAAAGAGGGAAAGAGCUUGCUCUUUCCGGAAUUGAGUGGCAAACGGGUGAGUAACACGUAAACAACCUGCCUUCAGGAUGGGGACAACAGACGGAAACGACUGCUAAUACCGAAUAAGUUCCAAGAGCCGCAUGGCCCAUGGAAGAAAAGGUGGCCUCUACCUGUAAGCUAUCGCCUGAAGAGGGGUUUGCGUCUGAUUAGCUGGUUGGAGGGGUAACGGCCCACCAAGGCGACGAUCAGUAGCCGGUCUGAGAGGAUGAACGGCCAAACUGGAACUGAGACACGGUCCAGACUCCUACGGGAGGCAGCAGUGGGGAAUCUUCCGCAAUGGGCGAAAGCCUGACGGAGCAACGCCGCGUGAGUGAUGACGGCCUUCGGGUUGUAAAACUCUGUGAUCCGGGACGAAAAGGCAGAGUGCGAAGAACAAACUGCAUUGACGGUACCGGAAAAGCAAGCCACGGCUAACUACGUG